UACGUAGGGCGCAAGCGUUGUCCGGAAUUAUUGGGCGUAAAGAGCUCGUAGGUGGUUUGUCGCGUCUGCCGUGAAAGCCCGGGGCUUAACUCCGGGUCUGCGGUGGAUACGGGCAGACUAGAGUCCGGUAGGGGAGCGUGGAAUUCCUGGUGUAGCGGUGAAAUGCGCAGAUAUCAGGAGGAACACCAGCGGCGAAGGCGGCGCUCUGGGCCGGAACUGACGCUGAGGAGCGAAAGCGUGGGUAGCAAACAGG
rnacentral:rRNA from 1 species